GCCUGGUGAAGGACGUCUGUCGUGGGGUAGUUGGAGCUUGACUCUGAAGUGAUCAUCACACUCACUGCCACUUCACGUAGAAUACUGCUACCACAAACUACCAGCGUUUGUACCAUAUAUACCAGAUGACUACAUCUGUUUUACCACAUGUUGAAGCAAGACUUCCGCUGUUUGUUCCAGACCAGGACUCUGGCUGAGGAGAGCUGAUGGAGGAGCUGACACGCUGGAGGACGACUAGGAAUCGACCAACAAGGAUUCCUCAACGUGUUUCUGGAGCGGAGGCGAGCUGGUAGGGGAGCCGUGAAUCUGGAGGAUGACCAUCACUCUACCAACAAGGAUUACGUUGGGGCCAGACUCACGCUGUUUGUUCCAGACCAGGACUCUGGCUGAGGUGAGCUGAUGGAGGAGUUGAGACGCUGGAGGACGACUAGGAAUCGACCAACAAGGAUUCCUCAACGUGUUUCUGGAGCGGAGGCGAGCUGGUAGGGGAGCCGUGAAUCUGGAGGAUGACCAUCACUCUACCAACAAGGAUUACCAGGAAUCUGGAGGACUGAUGGAGAAGCCGUACAUCUGGAAGGCAAAUCCUGAGGACAACCAGGACGCUACCAUCAAGGAUUCCUCACACACCUGAGCUGAACCUCACCUGAUCCUGUUUGGUCAGGGGCAGACACACCUGAGCUGAACCUCACCUGAUCCUGUUUGGUCAGGGGCAGACACACCUGAGCUGAACCCGCCCUGAUCCUGACAUCCUGCUAGUCUCGUCGCCUCAGUUCAUCUGAGCCUCGUCCACCAGAAGACCUGCUGAGCUCAGCAGUCUGAGGCUGUUGGAUCAAUGACCUCCAGUGGGAGUGAUCUUCUUGACCCCACAUAACGUGUUUCUGGAGCGGAGCCGAGCUGGUAGGGGAGUCGUGAAUCUGGAGGAUGACCAUCACUCUACCAACAAGGAUUACCAGGACUCUGGCUGAGGAGCUGAUGGAGGAGCCAAGACUCUGGAGGACGACAUCACUCUACCAACCAGGAUCCUUACCAGGAAUCUGGAGGACUGAUGGAGAAGCCGUACAUCUGGAAGGCAAAUCCUGAGGACAACCAGGACGCUACCAUCAAGGAUUCCUCACACACCUGAGCUGAACCUCACCUGAUCCUGUUUGGUCGGGGGUUGACACACCUGAGCUGAACCCGCCCUGAUCCUGACAUCCUGCUAGUCCCGUCUCCUCAGUUCAUCUGCGCCUCGUCCUCCAGAAGACCUGCUGAGCUCAGCGGUCUGAGGCUGAUGGAUCAAUGACCUCCAGUGGGAGUGAUCUUCUUGACCCUACAUGUAAUCGUGUGCUUCCACACGCCUUUCUCUCACGCCUUUCUCUCACGUCUGUCACUAACCUCACUACUCUCUACUGCUUCCUCUUCUUCUUCCUUUUCUGUGGUUCGAACCUAUACACGGAAGGCGCGUCUUCCUGCCCUCAGAGGGUUCAGUGUUAGGGUUGAGAGUCAGGGUUUAGAGUCAGGGACAGAGCUGGUCAGGGAGGACUGCUUUUACACAAACCUCUUCACUUGCUUUCGGAAUGGUGGUGACAUUUUGAAAAAAAAAUUGGGAAAAUGUUUUCCUCUGCUUUCCUUUAC